UUUAAAAGUUGCGUGGGUGUCAGGUGUCCUACUUAUAUAAGUGCACUCGUAACAACCUAAGAAUUACGAAACUUAUAUUAAAUCAACUAAACAUCACGUAGCAAAUAAGCCAUUAACCAAAUUCGACAAUCUCAUUGACAUCCAUACAAAAACUCCCCACUUGGUGGGCAAAAAUGCCACCUGAUGGACCGAGGCAGAUUUUCCUCCGAGUUAAGCCUCUCUCUUUACCUCUUACACUCUGCUUGUAGUAUUUUAGAAGCGAUCAUAGGGCGAAGAGUCCAUGUCGUAUUUGUAAUUGCAUGAAAUGCUUCAUACCUGCUUGCCUAGCCUACGAUAAUUGAUAAUAGUGCUUCUUAUUCUAGUAUCAUCAUGUCUCAUUACGAAGCAGUAAAGGUCCAUGGUUAUGAUGAAUUUUGCAAAGCAGUGUCUGAGAGGAAAGGAAAGGACAUUUGCAUAUUUCUCUGGUGAUAAAAGACGCUCAAGGGUUGAGCUGGUGUCCAGAUUGUGUGAAAGCUGAGCCAGUUGUUAGAGGAGAGAUGUCCCACCUUCCUGAGGGCUCAGUCUUCUUCUACUGUCAGGUUGGAGAGAGGCCAUAGUGCAACUUGUGCUGGGGACAAUAAAAGGCCACUCUUGGCAUGCUGACUGAGGAAUGUUCACCAGAGCUGUUGACAG